rnacentral:rRNA from 1 species
AACGAGGCGAACCGGGGGAACUGAAACAUCUAAGUACCCCGAGGAAAAGAAAUCAACCGAGAUUCCCCCAGUAGCGGCGAGCGAACGGGGAGCAGCCCGGAGUCUGAAUCAGCUUGUGUGUUAGUGGAAGCGUCUGGAAAGUCGCAGGGUACAGGGUGAUACUCCCGUACACUAAAACACACAGGUUGUGAACUCGAAGAGUAGGGCGGGACACGUGGUAUCCUGUCUGAAUAUGGGGGGACCAUCCUCCAAGGCUAAAUACUCCUGACUGACCGAUAGUGAACCAGUACCGUGAGGGAAAGGCGAAAAGAACCCCGGCGAGGGGAGUGAAAAAGAACCUGAAACCGUGUACGUACAAGCAGUAGGAGCCCACUUGUUGGGUGACUGCGUACCUUUUGUAUAAUGGGUCAGCGACUUAUAUUCUGUAGCAAGGUUAACCGUAUAGGGGAGCCGCAGGGAAACCGAGUCUUAACUGGGCGUUAAGUUGCAGGGUAUAGACCCGAAACCCGGUGAUCUAGCCAUGGGCAGGUUGAAGGUUGGGUAACACUAACUGGAGGACCGAACCGACUAAUGUUGAAAAAUUAGCGGAUGACUUGUGGCUGGGGGUGAAAGGCCAAUCAAACCGGGAGAUAGCUGGUUCUCCCCGAAAGCUAUUUAGGUAGCGCCUCGUGAACUCAUCUUCGGGGGUAGAGCACUGUUUCGGCUAGGGGGUCAUCCCGACUUACCAACCCGAUGCAAACUACGAAUACCGAAGAAUGUUAUCACGGGAGACACACGGCGGGUGCUAACGUCCGUCGUGAAGAGGGAAACAACCCAGACCGCCAGCUAAGGUCCCAAAGUCAUGGUUAAGUGGGAAACGAUGUGGGAAGGCCCAGACAGCCAGGAUGUUGGCUUAGAAGCAGCCAUCAUUUAAAGAAAGCGUAAUAGCUCACUGGUCGAGUCGGCCUGCGCGGAAGAUGUAACGGGGCUAAACCAUGCACCGAAGCUGCGGCAGCGACACUAUGUGUUGUUGGGUAGGGGAGCGUUCUGUAAGCCGUUGAAGGUGGCCUGUGAGGGUUGCUGGAGGUAUCAGAAGUGCGAAUGCUGACAUAAGUAACGAUAAUGCGGGUGAAAAACCCGCACGCCGGAAGACCAAGGGUUCCUGUCCAACGUUAAUCGGGGCAGGGUGAGUCGACCCCUAAGGCGAGGCCGAAAGGCGUAGUCGAUGGGAAACAGGUUAAUAUUCCUGUACUCGGUGUUACUGCGAAGGGGGGACGGAGAAGGCUAUGUUGGCCGGGCGACGGUUGUCCCGGUUUAAGCAUGUAGGCGGAUGUUCCAGGUAAAUCCGGAACGU